CGUAGGCAGCAAGCGUUGUUCGGAAUUACUGGGCGUAAAGAGUGUGUAGGCGGUGCUCCAAGUCUGGUGUGAAAUCUCCCGGCUUAACUGGGAGGGUGCAUUAGAAACUGGAAUGCUAGAGGAUGGGAGAGGUAAGCGGAAUCCCUGGUGUAGCGGUGAAAUGCGUAGAUAUCAGGAGGAACACCUGUGGUGUAGACAGCUUACUGGACCAUUUCUGACGCUGAGACACGAAAGCGUGGGUAGCAAACAGGAUUAGAUACCCUGGUAAUCCACGCCCUAAACGAUGCAUACUUGGUGUGAGCGAUUCAUUUCGUUCGUGCCGGAGCUAACGCGUUAAGUAUGCCGCCUGGGGAGUACGGUCGCAAGGCUG
rnacentral:rRNA from 1 species